AGUGUAUCCUCCUUCCAGCUGCAUUAGCCUCUCAUUCACUGAGCUCAGACGCAUGCCCUCACCCCUCCCAUGGAAUCAUCAGCAAGACUCUACCGAAUCGUGCCCCAGUUAACUUGAGGUGGAAGGAGCCACAGUUCAUCCUGCAAUCUUCACAGCAGCUCCACAGCCAUUUGCAGAGAAUGGGUGAAUGACAGCAAGAUUUGCAAUACCAGUAAGAGCCACAUAAGAUCACUGGAUGGGGCAAAUACAACAUGAGAACCAGUGGCAGAAUCAAUCAAUGAGAAUCUGGAUUCCUCAGCUUCCUCCUGCUGUCCUCUGGAUCUCCCUCGGAAUUGCGAAAAUACUUGAAUGUGUCACAAAUACAACAAAAGAUCACAUAUA